rnacentral:lncRNA from 1 species
AAGAGGGAUAGAUCACCGGACACUGACUCUGCUGUUGCCUCAUUCUUGGACUUCCCAGUUUCCAGAAUUGUGAGUAAUAAAUGUAUCCUGUUUAUAAGUUACCUGAUCUAGGUGUUUUGUUAUAGUAGCCCUAAGAAACUAAAACAAACAUGUAGGUGUUUCUGCAGCUGCUUUCACAAGUGAGGAAGAAGUGAAGGAUUCUAAAGCCCCAGUAGUGUUUGGAAAAGUAAGAGAAAUAUCUGGAUUUGGACAUGAGAAUGAGAAGGUCAAGUUCAGGGACUAAGCAGCAUUUUGCAGCGCAUUCCUUCAAAGAUUGAAGUUUGUGUGGAGAGUCACUCAUUAAAUAAGGAGUCCAAGGCUGCUGAACUCCUUGGGAGGAUGAGCGAGGUUCACUUGCUGACCUUUGACAUAUACAAGCACCUCUACAUCUCCAUGUAUGUUCAAUGAGGUUCCCAGAAGAGAAAAAACAAACCUGGAGCUAAAGAAAUCAUUUCACUGUAAACGGCUGCUGGAAUGACAGGAUUUGGAGGGGAAAUGAGGACACAGAGAGAGACACACUAGGGAUGCACAGGCACAGAGGAGAAACGCUGUGAGGAUGCAGUGAGCAGGUGACCAUCUACAAGCCAAGGACAGAAGCCUCAGGGGAAACCAAACAUGCUUUUUUCUCGGACUUCUAGCCUCCAGAACCACGAGAAGUAAGUUUCUGCUUUUUGAGAUGGAGUCUCACUCUGUAGCCAAGGCUGGAGUGCAUCUCUGGUGUGAUCUCGGCUCACUGCAACCUUCACCUCCCGGGUU